ensembl:snRNA U1 U1 spliceosomal RNA
AUACUUACCUGGCAGGGGAGAUACCAUGAUCUCACGAAGGUCGUUUUCCCAGGGUGAGGCUUAUCCAUUGCACUCUGGAUGUGCUGACCCCUGUGAUUUCCCCAAAUGUGGGAAAUUGACUGCAUAAUCUGUGGUAGUGGAGGACUGUGUUUCUGCUUUCCCCUG